rnacentral:rRNA from 1 species
UACGAAGGGUGCAAGCGUUAAUCGGAAUUACUGGGCGUAAAGCGUGCGCAGGCGGUUUUCCAAGACAGAUGUGAAAUCCCCGGGCUCAACCUGGGAAUGGCAUUUGUGACUGGAAGGCUAGAGUGUGUCAGAGGGGGGGUAGAAUUCCACGUGUAGCAGUGAAAUGCGUAGAGAUGUGGAGGAAUACCGAUGGCGAAGGCAGCCCCCCUGGGAUAACACUGACGCUCAUGCACGAAAGCGUGGGGAGCAAACAGG